UGAUAGAGGCGCGGAAUUCAUCAGUCCUCCAGCCGAGAGCACCGAGCUCAACGAAGCCGGACAAAAGGGAAUUCCGCCGAAGGAGCCGCUCUCCGGUGGGAAAGGCUGCCUGGGCGCAGGUGCGAACAGCCCUGUGACUGUCAUCAGGAUCACUUAUCUGAUGUUGAGCUGUC
rnacentral:ncRNA from 1 species